UCUUAUGUACAUUCUUACAGCAUAGCGUUAAUGUACCAGAUCCCAUUACAACUUCGUAGUUAAGCACGCUCGGGAUAGAGUAGUAUUGUGAUGGGUGAUUUCCCAAGAAGUCCUAGUAUUUAUAAACU
rfam:Picea glauca, whole genome shotgun sequence.